UAGAAUGGGAGACAGGCAGGACGUCACUGUGAUAAGAGCUACAACAGUGGGGGAGACAGGCAGUGGAUGGGAGUCGGGAAGAGGGGCUCUUCACCCGGGUUGGGGGUGGUCAGGAAACCCUUCUGAGAAAAGGGGCCAGAGUCUGCGGUAAAAAGUGAGACACAGUUAGAUGGUGGAAGGAAAAAGUGUUCCAAACGGAGGCAACAGCACGUGCAAGGUAUGGAGACAGGAGUGCCUGCCCCAGGCUGGCAUCCAGCUGUGGCCCAGGAUGUUAUGUCCAGUUCACUGGCUGGGCAAACAAGGAAAAGGAAGGAAAAUGAAGGAGCAAGGGAGAGAGAAAGGAAGGAAGAUGGGCUGCCUCAAAAGCAUUUACAAACUGAAGAAAUAAAGGAACAACAGUUGCGUGGAUGAGUGAAUUCAGCGAAUGACCUGCGUGUCGGGUGUCUGCAGGCAUAGACAAGGCAGGAGAGAGGAAGUGAAGCUUCGAGCUGCUGUCGCCUCUGGCUGCUGCUGUGGCUCAUCCUGCUCCUCCCACACAGAGGCCUGGACCACCACUGCCACUGUCAGGACAGGGACCUCCAUACCUGUCCUCUUGGGUGGGACUCGGCUAUUCCUGAGGGCUCCCAGACAGAGGGGGCUUGGGACCCUUGAAGCAGGCCCACGGGCCUGGGGCUGGAGGAGCAGCGAGAAGAGUGGGGUGGCAGGGGAGGAAGAGGCAGGAAGAGAUGGGAGUACUGUGGUUUGGGCCCUGCUAAAGGCAGCUGGGAUGCUCCUCACUGACCAAGAGCAGCCCUCGCUGACGUCCCUCGUCAUCACUUCAGAGCAGCUUAGAGUAGCUCCCCCUCCCUGCCCCCCUCCCUCCCGCUGACCUCUCCUGCCCAGGGCCUCACUGCCAGCAGGACCAGGGCCUUCAGCCUCACCCUGGACAUGAAGCUUCCCCAGCUCAGCCCCACCUGGCCUUUCCAGCUCCAGCUGGCUGCGUGGCUCCCCAGACACCUGUGACACCUUUGCGUAGGCAGUUUCCCUGCCUCGAGGCUGCUCUCCCUCCUCCACCUACACAGCCCUCGCCACCCAGCGAGGCUGGUGCCUCCAUCUCCUCCAGGGAGCCUUCCCUGGUUUCCACCCUUCUUGGGCUCCUGUAAGGCCUGUCUCAUUGGUUACCUCUGUCUGCCGGGCUCCGGCGGGGGGUGGUGGUGUUCCACAGAAGCUCUUCCUUCAGGCCCUGUGGUGGGCAGGCCUCCUGAGCAUUUCCACCCAGAUUCUCCUCCUUCCAUGCUUGCUGUGAUCUUCCAGGGCAGGGGAGGGGAAAACCAGAGC